CACGGAAUUAGCCGAUGCUUAUUCAUAAGGUACAUACAAAACCCCACACGUGGGGCACUUUAUUCCCUUAUAAAAGAAGUUUAAAACCCAUAGGGCUGUCAUCCUUCACGCUACUUGGCUGGUUCAGGCUCCCGCCCAUUGACCAAUAUUCCUCACUGCUGCCUCCCGUAGGAGUUUGGACCGUGUCUCAGUUCCAAUGUGGGGGACCUUCCUCUCAGAACCCCUAUCCAUCGUCGUCUUGGUGGGCCGUUACCCCGCCAACUAACUAAUGGAACGCAUCCCCAUCCAUUACCGAUAACUCUUUGGGUACGUAUACAUGAGUAUACAUAACAACAUCCGGUAUUAAACUUCCUUUCAGAAGACUAUCCCGGAGUAAUGGGCAGGUUGGAUACGCGUUACUCACCCGUGCGCCGGUCGCCAUCGGACUUAGCAAGCUAAGCCCAUGCUGCCCCUCGACUUGCAUGUGUUAAGCCUGUAGCUAGCGUUCAUCCUGAGCCAGGAUCAAACUC
rnacentral:rRNA from 1 species